GUGCUUAACACAUGCAGUCGAACGGAAAGCCCUGCUUGCGGGGUACUCGAGUGGCGAACGGGUGAGUAACACGUGGGUGAUCUGCCCUGCACUUCGGGAUAAGCUUGGGAAACUGGGUCUAAUACCGGAUAGGACCGCACUUUAGUGUGUGUGGUGGAAAGUUUUUUCGGUGUAGGAUGAGCUCGCGGCCUAUCAGCUUGUUGGUGGGGUAAUGGCCUACCAAGGCGGCGACGGGUAGCCGGCCUGAGAGGGUGUACGGCCACAUUGGGACUGAGAUACGGCCCAGACUCCUACGGGAGGCAGCAGUGGGGAAUAUUGCACAAUGGGCGCAAGCCUGAUGCAGCGACGCCGCGUGGGGGAUGAAGGCCUUCGGGUUGUAAACUCCUUUCGCUAGGGACGAAGCUUUUGUGACGGUACCUAGAUAAGAAGCACCGGCUAACUACGUGCCAGCAGCCGCGGUAAUACGUAGGGUGCGAGCGUUGUCCGGAAUUACUGGGCGUAAAGGGCUCGUAGGUGGUUUGUCGCGUCGUCUGUGAAAUUCUGGGGCUUAACUCCGGGCGUGCAGGCGAUACGGGCAUAACUUGAGUGCUGUAGGGGUAACUGGAAUUCCUGGUGUAGCGGUGAAAUGCGCAGAUAUCAGGAGGAACACCGAUGGCGAAGGCAGGUUACUGGGCAGUUACUGACGCUGAGGAGCGAAAGCAUGGGUAGCGAACAGGAUUAGAUACCCUGGUAGUCCAUGCUGUAAACGGUGGGCGCUAGGUGUGAGGGUUUUUCUACGAUUCUCGUGCCGUAGCUAACGCAUUAAGCGCCCC
rnacentral:rRNA from 1 species